rnacentral:rRNA from 1 species
UACAGAGGGUGCAAACGUUGCUCGGAAUCAUUGGGCGUAAAGCGCACGUAGGCGGCCCAGCAAGUGGGGAGUGAAAGCCCUCGGCUUAACCGAGGAAGUGUUUUCCAAACUACUGGGCUUGAAUACUGGAGAGGGUCGCGGAAUUCCCGGUGUAGAGGUGAAAUUCGUAGAUAUCGGGAGGAACACCAGUGGCGAAGGCGGCGACCUGGACAGAUAUUGACGCUGAGGUGCGAAAGCGUGGGGAGCAAACAGG